rnacentral:rRNA from 1 species
CCUACGGGAGGCAGCAGUGGGGAAUAUUGGACAAUGGGGGGAACCCUGAUCCAGCCAUGCCGCGUGUGUGAAGAAGGCCCUCGGGUUGCAAAGCACUUUCAGUGAGGAAGAACGCCUGGUGGUUAAUACCCAUCAGGAAAGACAUCACUCACAGAAGAAGCACCGGCUAACUCCGUGCCAGCAGCCGCGGUAAUACGGAGGGUGCGAGCGUUAAUCGGAAUUACUGGGCGUAAAGCGCGCGUAGGUGGCUUGAUAAGCCGGUUGUGAAAGCCCCGGGCUCAACCUGGGAACGGCAUCCGGAACUGUCAAGCUAGAGUGCAGGAGAGGAAGGUAGAAUUCCCGGUGUAGCGGUGAAAUGCGUAGAGAUCGGGAGGAAUACCAGUGGCGAAGGCGGCCUUCUGGACUGACACUGACACUGAGGUGCGAAAGCGUGGGUAGCAAACAGGAUUAGAUACCCCUGUAGUC